rnacentral:rRNA from 1 species
AGUGAACGCUGGCGGUAGGCCUAACACAUGCAAGUCGAACGGCAGCACAGUAAGAGCUUGCUCUUACGGGUGGCGAGUGGCGGACGGGUGAGGAAUACAUCGGAAUCUACUUUUUCGUGGGGGAUAACGUAGGGAAACUUACGCUAAUACCGCAUACGACCUACGGGUGAAAGCAGGGGAUCUUCGGACCUUGCGCGAUUGAAUGAGCCGAUGUCGGAUUAGCUAGUUGGCGGGCUAAAGGCCCACCAAGGCGACGAUCGGUAGCUGGUCUGAGAGAAGGAUCAGCCACCCUGGAACUGGGACACGGUCAAGACGCCUGCGGGAGGCAGCAGAGGGGAAUAUUGGACAAUGGGCGCAAGCCUGGUCCAGUCAGACGGCGUGUGUGAAGAAGGCCUUCGGGUUGUAAAGCCCGUUUGUUGGGAAAGAAAAGCAGCAGGUUAAUACCCCGCUGUUCUGACGGUACCCAAAGAAUAAGCACCGGCUAACUUCGUG